GACGAACGUUGGCGGCGUGCCUAAUACAUGCAAGUCAACUGAAAUACCGGUAGCAAUACUGGUAUGGAGGUGGCGCACGGGUGAGUAACACGUAGGUAAUCUGCCUUCAGGUCUGACAUAACCCAUCGAAAGGUGAGCUAAUAUCAGAUGAUGCAGCGGCUUGACAUCAAGACAGUUGUUAAAGCUUCGGCGCCUGAAGAUGAGCCUGCGUCUGAUUAGCUAGUUGGCGGGGUAACGGCCCACCAAGGCUGCGAUCAGUAGCUGGUCUGAGAGGAUGAUCAGUCACACUGGAACUGAGACACGGUCCAGACUCCUACGGGAGGCAGCAGUAAGGAAUAUUGCUCAAUGGCCGAAAGGCUGAAGCAGCAACGCCGCGUGAGGGAUGAAGGGCUUUUUGCUUGUAAACCUCUGUAGCGAGAGACAAAACUCCC
rnacentral:rRNA from 1 species